GUUUUGUAAUACUAUGUUUGGUUUAUAGGCAUUUAGUUCAAUUUCUAUUUGGUAAUUUUAGAUAUUGAAGAACUUUGCAUUGGUUGCAUGGAGGCAGACAUUAUUUACAAGGCUCUCGCGAAGGUAACCUUAAACCUAAAUAUUCUUGUGAGUGAGUUAUCAAAUUUUACGCCCGCUACGUUGAUGAUACGCUAGUCCGCGCCAAACCAUCUGAUAUCCCAAUCAUUCUACGAGCCUUCAAUUCAUUUCACCCUCAAAUCCAGUUUACAUUCGUAAUUCAUAAUCUAGUAAUCGUGAUAUUUUCUGCGUUGGUAUAAUGUACCAACACAGAAAAUGUCACGAUUACUA